rnacentral:rRNA from 1 species
AUGGAGAACUCCAAGGAGUUUGCUGACAAGCUGUUCAGGAUAUGUCGAGGCAGAGGAACAUUGAGACGGGUGAAGGCAUUAACAAGGAUCGGCUCAGAGAGGUGGAACAUGAACAUUGUUGGGAUGCUCACAGAAGAUAAGGUUAAGAAGGUGGCUACGCAAAUGAUCACAGAGAAGACUACUGCUGGGCCUUUUGAUCGACCAUGCGAUUCAAAAAGCUCUUUAGUGCAGUUUGCAACAACAAAAAUCAGAGGAUUGGUCGUUUGUAAGGGUGGGUAUUCUGAAAAUUUUAAAUCAGUGGCAAUGAGUGGCGAUCAUGAAGCAGGAAAAGUUCUUGCGAGGUAUUCUGAAUAUUCUGCAGGUGCUGUCGCAGGUGUUGAGGAGGCCAAAGCAAAAGCAGCCCUCAUUGGGUUGCAUGCUCUCAAGGAUCUACAGGGCCCCGUGAUUUUGGAACUUGACUGCCAAAUUCGGAUUAAGGAACUGAUGACAGGGAAGCAGUCCCUCUCCCCGUGCUAUGGACUGCUAAGAGACAUCAAGCAAGCACUAACAAACUUCUCGGAUCAUAGUAUCAGUAGCGUGGAGAGAUUGUGCAAUGCCCUUGCUGAUGGGCUUGCAGCGUUGGCCAGGAAUUCGUAA